GACGAACGCUGGCGGCGUGCCUAAUACAUGCAAGUCGAGCGAGCGGAACUAACAGAUUUACUUCGGUAAUGACGUUAGGAAAGCGAGCGGCGGAUGGGUGAGUAACACGUGGGGAACCUGCCCCAUAGUCUGGGAUACCACUUGGAAACAGGUGCUAAUACCGGAUAAGAAAGCAGAUCGCAUGAUCAGCUUUUAAAAGGCGGCGUAAGCUGUCGCUAUGGGAUGGCCCCGUGGUGCAUUAGCUAGUUGGUAAGGUAAAGGCUUACCAAGGCGAUGAUGCAUAGCCGAGUUGAGAGACUGAUCGGCCACAUUGGGACUGAGACACGGCCCAAACUCCUACGGGAGGCAGCAGUAGGGAAUCUUCCACAAUGGACGCAAGUCUGAUGGAGCAACGCCGCGUGAGUGAAGAAGGUUUUCGGAUCGUAAAGCUCUGUUGUUGGUGAAGAAGGAUAGAGGUAGUAACUGGCCUUUAUUUGACGGUAAUCAACCAGAAAGUCACGGCUAACUACGUGCCAGCAGCCGCGGUAAUACGUAGGUGGCAAGCGUUGUCCGGAUUUAUUGGGCGUAAAGCGAGCGCAGGCGGAAGAAUAAGUCUGAUGUGAAAGCCCUCGGCUUAACCGAGGAACUGCAUCGGAAACUGUUUUUUUUGAGUGCAGAAGAGGAGAGUGGAACUCCAUGUGUAGCGGUGGAAUGCGUAGAUAUAUGGAAGAACACCAGUGGCGAAGGCGGCUCUCUGGUCUGCAACUGACGCUGAGGCUCGAAAGCAUGGGUAGCGAACAGG
rnacentral:rRNA from 1 species